rnacentral:lncRNA from 1 species
GUUCGUAGGCUCUUCAUAGCUUGGGACUAAGGAAAUUCUUUAUUGGAGGAAUAGGGCCGCUUGGUUGCAUUCCUAAUCAACUAGCCACUGGACUUACUCCUACUGGGAAGUGUGUGGACUUCACAAAUGAAGUAGUUGGGAUGUUUAACACACGACUCAUAUCUCUUGUUGAUCAGCUAAACUUAAACUACACAGGAUCUGUUUACACCUAUGGAAAUACUUUUGGAGCAUUUUAUGACAUCCUAAACAAUUCCAAGCAAUACGGUAAGAAUAUGAGCAUCUUGGUACAGUGUUUCUAUUCGAUAAUAAUCUAUCCAAUUUAGAGGUAUGCUUGCCUUGCAGGAUUUAGUGUGAUAGACAAAGGAUGCUGUGGAGUUGGAAGAAACCAAGGGCAGAUAACAUGUCUUCCUUUCUCAGUACCAUGUGCUAAUAGGAAUCAGUAUAUUUUCUGGGAUGCUUUUCAUCCAACACAAGCUGUGAAUCAAAUUCUGGCACAACGAGCUUACACCGGCCCAACAUCAGAUUGUUAUCCAGUAAAUGUACAAGAAAUGGCCAAGAUGUAAUUAGCUCUCUUUGAAUAAACUUUUCAAGUUAAAUAAGCAGCUCAUUUUUAGCAUAGACCAGUAUGUAGAAAGGCCACUACUUAGCGGAAUUUGGUUAUCUACUCUUUAUAUUAUGUU